UGGAUAGCUCAGAGGGAGAGCAUCGGCCUGUCAGCCGAGUGUCGCGGGUUCGAUUCCCGCUCCA
rnacentral:tRNA from 1 species